CCUGGAAGCAGCCCCACUGAUAUUCUUGUUCCUUAACUGUUAAGGGCACAAAAAGAUAUUCCACACCCAUACAGAGAAGAUUUGGAUGAAAUUCCCUGGAAGAGCAGCAGCUCCACUAGGCACCCUUCUGGAAACCGAGAGGUCAACGUCCCACACAGAGCAAUCUCCAACAGUUGUGCAUAACAGGCAAAAGAAUUUUAGAAGCAGUAUUCACCGAUAA
rnacentral:lncRNA from 1 species